rnacentral:tRNA from 1 species
UGCCGGGUGGUCUAAUCGGCAGGACACCUGUCUUUGAAACAGGUUGGUUCAGGUUCGAGCCCUGACCCGGCAGCCA